ACUAUCGUUAGUUCGCAAGUAGCAAGUGAUCUGUGUCAACAGAAUCAAGAAAUAUGCCCUCGACAACAUAUACAUUCAUAUUCCGCAAGCCACCCAGCGGUGUGUGGUGGAGAGCACUUUAUGCGCCACUGUCAUUAUCUCCCUUUCCUCUUCCACUCACGUAUGUUUCGCGGGAAGAACGACUGCCGGAAAGCCUACGUGCGUGCUCGAAUCUCUUUAAUUUUACAUUCGUGAUCUCCUCGGGAGGUAUAAGUAGGGGGAAGCAAUAUAUUUGAUACCUCAUCCAGAAACGCACCCUCUUGAAACCUGGACAGCAAGCUACACCGCGAUGCAGAGCGCCUCUCUUGCAGAGUCUGCCACUUGAGUUUGCUAAACAUCUCCAUCACGCUUGCCAAAUAACCCUGUGGAAACGCGUCGCUCUUCUUUGGAUCUUCUCUAUCUCCUCUGUCAACCCGACCUGGUACACUGAUGAACAAUACUCAAGUAUAGGCCGAACGAGUGUUUUGUAAACCAAGAUAACGCCUCGAUAACCCAAUUGACGAAAAAUGAGGUGAAAUGGUAUUGUUAAUUUAAUAUUUCUAACGAUUUUUCCUCAGUUCUUACAUGAUAUACAAAAGAUAAGCAUGUACACAGACAACAUUUCAUCUCAACAAAGCAGCCCGUAAAGUAUCCGAGUCACAUUUUCAGUCAACCCAUGUAGAAUUCAAAAAUCAGCAGAACUGGAGAAGCUGCCACAGCGUUUUUAUACCGUUCUCGUCAGAAGUAAGACGCAGUUCCUAUUUCCAUUGCUAGCUGCAUUGUGUACCCAUCCACAUGUAGAGGAGAUAAUCGUGAAUAUUCAAGACGACUUGAAGAACUCCCUGAUCAAAAGAACUGUAAUUGAUAACGUGUCUGAACCACAUUUUCAGUCAAUCCAUAUAACGAUAAUUCAAAAUAUCUUUGACAGCGGAACUGGAGAAGCUGCCACAGCGUCUUUACACAGUAUUCAGCAGGAGUAAGGUUAGUUUCUAAUUUUGUGAAUAAAAGUAAUGACAUGGUUUACACAAAUCCUCGUGACUUUCCAGACGCAGUUCCCAUUUCGAUUACUAGCUGCUCUGUGUACCCAUCCACAUGUAGAAGAGAUAAUCGUGAAGAGUCAAGACGACUUGAAAAACUCACUGCUUAAAAAAGCCAUAAUUUAUAACAUAAGUGUGCAAAAUGAGUACUGAUACAGUGUGUCAUGUAAGUCAUUAUGUUAUUUGA